rnacentral:rRNA from 1 species
AUUGAACGCUGGCGGCAGGCCUAACACAUGCAAGUCGAACGGUAACAGGAAGAAGCUUGCUUCUUUGCUAACGAGUGGCGGACGGGUGAGUAAUGUCUGGGAAACUGCCUGAUGGAGGGGGAUAACUACUGGAAACGGUAGCUAAUACCGCAUAACGUCGCAAGACCAAAGAGGGGGACCUUCGGGCCUCUUGCCAUCGGAUGUGCCCAGAUGGGAUUAGCUAGUAGGUGGGGUAACGGCUCACCUAGGCGACGAUCCCUAGCUGGUCUGAGAGGAUGACCAGCCACACUGGAACUGAGACACGGUCCAGACUCCUACGGGAGGCAGCAGUGGGGAAUAUUGCACAAUGGGCGCAAGCCUGAUGCAGCCAUGCCGCGUGUAUGAAGAAGGCCUUCGGGUUGUAAAGUACUUUCAGCGGGGAGGAAGGGAGUAAAGUUAAUACCUUUGCUCAUUGACGUUACCCGCAGAAGAAGCACCGGCUAACUCCGUG